rnacentral:rRNA from 1 species
GACGAACGCUGGCGGCGUGCUUAACACAUGCCAGUCGAACGGAAAGGCCCUGCUUUUGUGGGGUGCUCGAGUGGCGAACGGGUGAAUAACACGUUAGUAACCUGCCCUUGACUUUGGGAUAACUUCAGGAAACUGGGGCUAAUACCGGAUAGGUGCUCCUGCUGCAUGGUGGGGGUUGGAAAGUUUCGGCGGUUGGGGAUGGACUCGCGGCUUAUCAGCUUGUUGGUGGGGUAGUGGCUUACCAAGGCUUUGACGGGUAGCCGGCCUGAGAGGGUGACCGGCCACAUUGGGACUGAGAUACGGCCCAGACUCCUACGGGAGGCAGCAGUGGGGAAUAUUGCACAAUGGGCGGAAGCCUGAUGCAGCAACGCCGCGUGCGGGAUGACGGCCUUCGGGUUGUAAACCGCUUUCGCCUGUGACGAAGCGUGAGUGACGGUAAUGGGUAAAGAAGCACCGGCUAACUACGUG